rnacentral:lncRNA from 1 species
GCAGUUGUGUGGAAUCCUUGGGACAAGAAGGCCAGGGCUCUCCAAGAUUUGGGGGACGAGGACUACAAAACCAUGUUAUGUGUGGAUUCUGCUGAUAUUGAAACCCCAAUUAUCUUGAAACCUUUUGAAGAGUGGAAGGGCUACCAAGAGCUAUCUACUGUAUCAUCAAGUUAUUGCAGUGGGCAGUUGGAUCCUAGGAAGGUUCUUUAUGGUCAGUGAUCUUGCCCCAUAAUAACUGGAGGUUUGCUUGUAAUCCCUGGUCUUAUUUUAACAUAUGCAUGCAUUUGCUGUCUAAUUUGUUGGGGUCUUUAGGACUCCUAGACUGAGAUUUAACCAGUUGCAUGUACUAGUUGACCAUCAAUAUUGAGGUGACACUAUCACAUUGUCAAGCAACAAGAUUUUUACUUUUGUGUUGCUUCUUUGUGAUGGUAUGAUCUGCCUUUCUGUUGUCAAGAUCGAGUUAAGUGAGUGAAUUUGAUGGUACUGUAGCUGUUGAAUAGAAUAUUAUAAUAAAUUCUGUUGAAAUCUUGGAAGUAGAAUCAUUUAAUUUGUUAAAUUCUUUGAGUAACAGAGUGAUAGAGGAAUGGGAUUAACAACAUAGAUUUUGUCAUUUAAGCAGCUACAAUCUCACCAUAAUCUUCCUUAUAGAGCAAUUGCUCAGGCGCUAGGAACUGGACCUAGACAUUAUUUCAUUCUGUCUGGAAUUUGUUUUGAUCUGUGAAUUAGAAGAGAGAAAGUAGAGACAUCCCAAAUUUUUCUUUGGCAUCCUUAUCAAACGGAUCAUCUCCGAGAUACAUGUAAACGUAUGCCCUGCAGAGGAGUUCACUCUCAACUUUGCUAAUCACCCCUCCCAUCACUGCAUUCAUCAAAAGUGGGUGCUCAAUUAGAUUUAGAUAUCUCAUUAGAGCAUAACAUGGAAUUCUGUAGUGUUUCAGCACUUACCUUUAGUUUCGAGAACAUGUCCAGGAAGGCGAGAAAUCUCAAUAACUGAGCCACUUGUUAGCUUGAUGUCAUCUGAUGCUUGGCCCAUGACCCUAUUAUUUGGGAGCACGUAAUAGGUGAAGUUUAGUAGUAGAUAAGUGCAUUAUUGUAGUUGCAAUAACAAGGAGAAGGAUAUUUACUUGUUUGCAAGCUCGUCAUUCUUCUUUCCACCAUUCAGUUUUCUGAUGGCUGCUCCUAGACCUUCAUCAAAGUUCUUUUUUACCAUGUUCAUGGUGAGGCUAGAAAACACAAUCACCAACCUCAUCAUCAUCGCCACAUCACUCUCAAUUACUGCCUGAUACAUUUCCUUUGUUGGUUUUGCUGGGGCUUUUCCAAUCUUUAACUUCAGGAUAUCUUUCAGGGUAUCGUUGUCUGUAUACAUCCCUGCAAAUUAAAACAAUGAUGACAUGGAUGUGAAGCAUUGGAAAGAGAAUUUCAUGUUAGAGCGUACAUAUCCGAACUUGGAACUCACUAGUUAGGAGGAUUCAGCUCUCACUGGUUAAUACUAUUAUAGAUGCCACAGCAAUUUGAUUCGUGCCAUUUAUGGUUCAGUUUGAUUUGAGAUUGGUCACGACUCGUGAUUUUAUUGUCUGUAACGUUCAAAACUUAAUUCUUGAUACUAUGAAGUAAAGUUGGAGUAGAUCGAACUGGAAAAAAAAGGUUAAAGGCGGAACAUUACCAAAGCCAUAAAUCUUGAUUCCCAUGCCAAGCAUGUAUUUCUUCCUCAAACCAACACUUGUCAGCUGCUUCCCAUCAUCCAACUUAACUGGAAAGGAAACUCCAGUCUUAGGUUCAACCUCAAGUGCUACUACAUCUUCUUUCUUUACCUCUUUCUCAGGCGCCUCAGAUUCAGCUUCUUUUCCAGCUAUUUUCAUCUCCUCUUGACCUUUCUCCAUGGUUGGCGCUCCAUUCAUCCCACUAACAGCCUUGUGUUCGACACCGUUGCCGUUCACCUUCUCGUCGACCGGUGUUUGAUCCUUGGUAACAGCAGUCUCAAUCUCAGGAAGAGUGGACAUUCUUCAACUAACUGUUACAAAUGAACAAGGAGGAGAGUCAAGUGUUAUGUGUUGGUUUGAAAUUUGAAGGGAAGGCAAAGUGUUUAUAUAGGAGGGGAACACAAGAGAGAGCAUUUAUUUGCCAUUGGAGACACUCUAUCACAUUGGCAUAGGCAUACGCCUCGGUAUGAGCAUUAGAUAAGUGAAGCAAAUGUUGCAAGAAAGGCAUUCAGUCAUUCAAAUUGGAGGAUUGGACAGCAUUUUCAAAGCUUUACCAAUUUACUGAAUCCACACAUAUCAAGAACUUGCCCUUGUGCAACAUUGACUUGUCUGAGCAAAUAAUUUCACCAUGUGUUCCUGUCCUGGCUAAAACACGUGUCCAAAGCCAACUUUAAGAUGCCAACAACUACAUAGACCAUCAGCCGCUAACUAACUCUUGAAUGUUAAUCAAGAAUAUGGAAGAGUGUGGAAUAGGCUUAUGGAUUAAUCAGAAUUUUUGGGCUACACUCUUUAAUAAUGUAUAACUCAAUCAUGGGGGCUCUGAAUCUGUUCAGCACAGCACCAAUGCUAUGCUAAAACAAGGGAUGCAUUUCUUUUGAUAAUGAAUUUGAAGGAAUGGAUUAAUUGAACAGCCUUCUUAAAUGUUUCACCAAUAUAUGGCAGUUACCCCCUAUGAUCAUUGUAAUAAUAAUAAUAAUAAAAAGAAAAGAAAAGCUUUGCACUGCUCAUUGUUUAAAGCUCUCCUUUUCUGAAAAUCACAUUCCUCAAAUCAUGAAGCAUGGUUGCAGAAAUCAUGAAAUAGCAAAUAUCCAACAAAAGAAAAAAGAAAGGGAAUUUCAAAUCCAGAUAUUUAACUCAUUCAAACAAAUCAUUUUGUUGUUUUAAAAUAAAAUACAAGCAUAAAUGGGCAUUGGCUUCCAAAUUCCACAGGGUGUUCAUGGCUUACGAGCACUGGAUUCUUCAAAAUUAUGGCUUUGAAAAUUAAAGAAUAUUAUCCUUAACUCAAAAAGUCUUAUCCCCAUAUCUUUCAACCAUAUACAACAAGAACAUGGCUACAACUACACCCAUUUCUUUGUUUAGUUUAUCUUCCAAUGUAGAAACACUUAAUCUUGAAAGGCUACUUUAACACUUAACUCAAAUCUAAACGCACUGGUUAUUCCCAGCGGUUGUGAAUUGUAAAGAUAAUAUUAAAACAUAGGAAUUUAAAAAUGAAUUAAUAAAAAUAUGCAUGAAAAUCAUCCAACAAAAAGAAUUUCACAUACUUAAUGGUAUUUGAUUGUGCUGAUGAUUGUAGAGAUAAUAUCAAAAUGCACACAUACCUACAAAUGGAUUAUUAAAAAUAUCGCAUUAAAUUCAUCCGUAAAAAUAAAUUGAAAAACAAAAGAACAGAAUUGUAAGGGUUGAAAUUAAAUUAGUAUCCAAAAUCAUUUUGAGAAACGACUGUAUGAAAAUUGUGAUCGAAGGUUGGACAAAAUUUUCUAGAGAAACAAAAGAUAGAGGGUGUUUGCGUAUGACUGAAGGGCCAGGCUAAGAACCUAAACAAAGGUUCAAUGGGCUAGCUUAUGCCCAGAUUUGUGUUGGAGAGCCCAGACCCAAUUGAAAGGUCUGGAAUGAGUUCAUCUUUUUCUCUCUCUCUCUCUUCUUCACAAGUCGAAACACAAUCAGAGCAAAGCUUUGAAGCAGUUAAAGACUUAUUUGGAAGUUGAAAAUUUGCAAGAGAGGAUAUUGUACUGAAGCUGAAAUCAAAUCCAUGCCGUUGAAUAUUGUUAAUGAUGUUGAUGGAUUGCCCAAAAUUAUCUUGACUGAGCCUACUGGUUCUUCUGCUGAGGUCAUUUAUUCUAACCCCCUUUUCUUUUAUAUCCUCUUGAGCUUUUUUUUCGAGCUCUCUUGAUCUUUAAGGAAAUUGGGUUCUAAUGGUUUCUUUUUUUCAUUGAUUAUGUAAUUGGGGACAAAUAUUAUGUGUUCUUUUGGAUGAUGUUACUGUAAUUGAAGGAGAAAUUCUGUGAUUGGUGUAGAUUGAUAGUUCAAAUGAUUGACAAUGGUGUGAAAAAGAGAAUAAUUUUGAUGUAUAGAAUUGGAAAAGCUUUGAUCUUGAGAGAUGAUAAACAGAAUUUUAUGGCCAGAUGAAGAGAAGUUAGAUUCCUGAUAAGUUUGAGGGUGGGAGUCAAUGGACAGUAAAUUGGUUUUGGAAUAUGGGGCAGCAUCUUAGGGCAUAAGUCUAUAAAAUUUGUUGUGAUUGUUAUUUUUUUUCUUUUCAUUGUCAAGAAUUUAGCUUUCUCAAAGGUCAUAUAUAAUUAAAUAAACAAACGCUACUUCAGAGAUCCUCAAUGAGGAUGGAUGAACAAAUCUUGGUCUGAUUUGAACCCAUUUAAAUAAACCCUUAUAAUUUAAAAAGAUGAAAGAACAGUUGUGUCUUGCAAAAGGCUGCUGAUACGAAACUAAGAGUUUCUAGAAAGAUAAUUUAAUUGAAUUAAUACUAAACUUUGCUUUUCUCUAUUGUUUUUCAUUGGCAAAGAAUAUAUAUAUGAAACUGAAAGUGAUAGCUCACUUUUGCAGUCACUAUGAUAGCUCACUUUUGCAGUCACUAUGAUAGCUCACUUUUGCAGUCACUAACUGUUCAUCCAAAUGGUUCAGGUGCUUCUUUAUGGUGGGCAGGUUGUCUCCUGGAAGAACGAACGCAGAGAAGAAUUACUUUUUAUGAGUACCAAGGUGAGCCCCUCUUUGUAGCUAUUAGCCACAAUAGUGACUAAGCAUCAUAUUGAUGUCAAUCUAGAAAUGACAGAUUGCUCUCCUUUAUGAAGAAGAACUGUCAGUAAGGAGUAAUAUAUAUUAGUUUGAAUGUUGACCUUCAUUUUUAACCUUUUUUAUGCCUGAAGCAAUUCAGUCUUAGGAUUUUUGGCAAACGGAAGUCACUUCCUGAAGUUUCAGAAUAACAGCUUAAUGUCCAUACAGCAACCCUCUCAAAAUGAUGGUAAACAUAUUAGCUGGUUUAAUGAAAUGUAUAAACCUAAGAGAUACCAAAUUUACAUGCUGAACCUCUUUUAAAGUAUAUAUACACUUACUUAUCAGUCAUUUCAUCGCUCUUUAAUUGCUCUUUUUGCAUAUCAAUUCAUACUUCAUUAAUUUAAGUCUGCGUCAGGCUCAGCUAUGUUAGUUUGAGUUGUUAUAUGUGCGAAUCUACUGUUACCUGUGGAACUACUAAUCCUGGUUGUGGUGGAAUUUCCCCUCUUUGUAGGCUGUGUUGAAGGCACCUAAAGCCAUCAGAGGAGGCAUACCUGUCUGCUUUCCACAGGUUUAUGAUUUGUGAUAAGGAAUCAAGUAGAAUAUAUUUCACUCUCAUUAUUGUUAAGAGUUUGAGUUCUUAUUCAAUGCUGCUACUUCAGUUUGGAAAUCUUGGCUCACUGGAGCAACAUGGAUUUGCAAGGAACAAAUUGUGGUCAUUGGAUAGUGAUCCGUUGCCUUUGCCUCCGGUGAAUAAUCAGUCGUCGGUAGAUCUGAUUUUGAAGUCCACAGAAGAAGAUUUGAAGACUUGGCCACGUAGGUAUGCUUUCAAACUGGCCAAACUGCAUAAGACUAUAUUGAAGAUAUUAUCAUUUUAAACAUAUCUAUUUAAAACUUUUGGAUUUCUGCAGCUUUGAGCUGCGGCUUCGAAUCUCUAUUAGUCCCGGCAAGCUUACUCUGAUCCCCCGUGUGAGAAAUACAGAUAACAAGGCCUUCUCUUUUACAUUUGCACUCUGUAACUACUUGUCUGUCUCAGAUAUCAGGUUUGUCUUAUAUUAGCUAGAACUUGUUCUGUUAGAAGAUUGCCACUGUCAUUGUUCUGUCUAGAUCUUACAAUCCCAGUAUUUCCAAGUCUUGCAUCUUCUUACACACUUUUGCAGUCAACCUAUAAGCUAUUUUCCCACCUCAGUUGGAAUUUGCAGAAAGCAUCUCGAAUUAAGAGCUUAGUUUAGAAGAUAUUGCAAUUCCACCCUUUUCAAAUGGGUUGCAUGAUACUGUUUAAUUUGCAGCGAAGUGCGUAUUGAAGGCUUAGAGACACUCGAUUACUUUGAUAAUCUGAUGCAGAGAGAAAGGUUCACUGAACAAGCAGAUGCAAUUACAUUCGACGCUGAGGUACUAUUAUUGUUUCUUCUUAGCCAUUCAGUCUGGAGGUGAAUUUCUUGGAAGAAAACGAUAAUAAAAUGAAUAUUUAUUUAAUAACUGUUAGUUUAUGAUUUCAUACAAUUCUUUACUCUAAUUCUCUUAUUUCAAUUCACCUAUAUCUGGAAGUAUUAUACUGCUAAUGCACAUUAAUUUUUCAGAUUGAUAGAAUAUAUUUAAGCACCCCCACAAAAAUUGCUAUUAUUGACCAUGAGAAGAAGAGAACCUUUGUGCUGCGGAAGGAUGGCUUGCCUGAUGCAGGUUCUAACAUGUUGUCUUGCUGUUUUCUAAUUGUCAUCUUCAUUCCAAUUGCUGAGUUUCUCUAGCUACAUACCUGAUUUUAUUGAUUAUGCAGUUGUGUGGAAUCCUUGGGAUAAAAAGGCCAAGGCUCUCCAAGAUUUGGGGGAUGAUGACUACAAAACCAUGUUAUGUGUGGAUUCUGCUGCUAUUGAAACCCCAAUUGUCUUGAAACCUUUUGAAGAGUGGAAGGGCCACCAAGAACUAUCUACUGUGUCAUCAAGUUAUUGCAGUGGGCAGCUGGAUCCUGGAAAAGUUCUUUAUGGAUUUCAGUGAUCUCACCCAUGUAAUGAAUGGAU